AGCUCUGUGCUUUGUGUCCUCGUCAGUGUGGCUACCGUCACGUUUGUACUGUGAGUGCUCUCUGUGGAGCAUACAUGGGACAUGAAACUCACUGCUUCAAUCACUUCUUUUCUUUUCUUUUUUUGUUUUGUUUUGUUUUUUUUGGGGGGACAGGGUUUCUCUGUGUAGCCCUGGCUAUCCUGGAACUCACUCUGUAGACCAGGCUGACCUCGAACUCAGAAAUCCGCCUGUCUCUGCCUCCCAAGUGCUGGGAUUAAAGGUGUGCGCCACCACUGCCCGGCCUGCUUCAAUCACUUCUAAGUGUACAUACAGUUCAACAGAACCGACUGUCUUACAUUGCUGUGAAGCCAUAGCCGCCACCUACCUCUGUAGCUUUCCUUCCCCAUAACCAUCACGCCCUCUACUUUGAGAUAUCCCAGGCUGGCCUGGAACACACUAUCUAGCCAAGGAUGACCUUGGCUCUCCUGCCUCUGUCUCUGAUUGCCUCCACAUCCAGUUCUAGCAGUCCCAGGGAUGAACGCAGGACACCCAAGGUCUGCUACUGAGGUACAGCCCCAACCUCUCCAGAGUUCUUUUCUUCAUGUAAAACUAAAACUCUUAGUCAGGCGUGGUGAACCAUACCUGUAAUCCUGGUACUCAGAAGGCUGAGACAGGAAGAUGGGAGAGUCUGAGGUCAGCCUGGGCUACAGAGACGGCCUGACUUGGUGGUGUUUAUUUAACCUAAGCACUUGGGUGGCAGAGGCAAACGUGCUGUCUGCCCGUGAUGGAAACAGGGCAUGACUGUAUUUUGAAUACUUGUUGUUUAUGGCAGGGUAAGUCCUGUACAUUGGCUGUCUCCCCGCUUCCUUUGUUUAUCCUGGAGCUAGCAAAUGGUCCCAUUUAAACAUUUGCUUGGUGUUCUGUGAACCACGCCUGGCUUUUUCUCCAGUUGUUCCUGCAGCUCUGGCAAAUGCUUGAUGGUUUUUCUUUCUUGACGGUGUUAGCUAACACGUGUUCCAUUUAUUCUUGUCCCUCUCUCUGAUGCUCCAGACUGUCUGGUACCACAAGCCCUUGCAUCGCUGACUAAAUUCCUUACCCCUACAGAGGUCCCCAGUUUUUCUUAGGACAAUGCAUAUUGAAGAACAUUUUGCUGGAAAUUUCUGAAAAAUAAAAUGCUGUAUAUCUCUUGAACAUAUACCUACUUGCUCUUCAUUAUUAUUCCUUGAAUCUAACAUUCAAGCCUAGCGAUUAUUUACACAGCAUUCUCAUCAUAUCACGUAUUAAAAGUAAUUACAGACGACCUAAAUCUACAAGAGGAUAUGGGUAGAUUAUCCAGAUUCUAUGGCAGUUGUUAGGAUUUUUUUUGUCUUUGAAAAGGAUCCUGGAAACAAUCCCCAAUGUAGUAGGCAACUUCCUGUCACUGCUGCAAAAUGCCAGACACAAGUAACGUACGGGGAGGAGAGAUUUCUUUUAGUGAAUGGUUGCAGAGGUUUUUGUCUACGACUGUGUUGCUCUGGCCUGUAGUGAGGCAGCCCCUCAUGACUGGUGCAGGGUAGAGGACUUUUCACUUCAGGGCUUCACUGUCCUCCUCCAGGGCGUAGCCCACAGAUGUAACUUCCUCCCAACAGGCUCCACCCCCGUGAUGGUUCCAUACCCCUCUCUCCCAUAGCUCCACGACUACAGGGACCUUUGGGGAACAUCCCAUAUCCAAACAAUAACAGCUUCCUGGAGAAGGCUGUGCUUAGCUUCCACGCAAGCCCUCUUCUCAGUCUUACACUUGCUUUUAACUUACCCUGCUGCCUCCAAAUUCUGGUGCCUCGCGCUUUCUGUGGGGUAGAUCAGCUUUCUGCUCAUGUGGCGCUUUCUCUCCAAACACUUCAGCCUGUAUCACCAUCUGCUUGCUGUCUCCCAGACUUGCUUGAAACCUGUCUAUAAUUAUUUCCUUUUAUAGUCUCUUAGUUUUAGAGUUUAUAUUG
rnacentral:lncRNA from 1 species